rnacentral:rRNA from 1 species
UACGUAGGGUGCUAGCGUUGUCCGGAUUUACUGGGCGUAAAGCGCGCGCAGGCGGCACUGUAAGUAAGGUGUGAAAUAUCCCUGCUCAACGGGGAGGGUGCAUUUUAGACUGCAGAGCUAGAGGACGGUAGAGGGGGGUGGAAUUGCUGGUGUAGCGGUGAAAUGCGUAGAGAUCAGCAGGAACACCCGUGGCGAAGGCGGCCCCCUGGGCCGAACCUGACGCUGAGGCGCGAAGGCUAGGGGAGCGAACGGGG